GCAUGAUAAAGGCAAACUACCCUAAAGGGUAGGACGCAAAGCCAUAGGUCUAAAACUUUCUAACCCCUAUUUUCCCCAAAUAUUCACAAUUAUAACCCCAAUCAGAGUAAGAGACCCUCCUAUUAGUGAUAAAAAAUAAGGUACUUCUCCCAACCAUAUCCAGGCGAUUAAUAUAGCCAAUACCGGAGAUAAAUAAAGAUAGCUGGCUGCUAAA
rnacentral:ncRNA from 1 species